rnacentral:misc_RNA from 1 species
AAUAGAUCACGUUUUCGAAGGUUAGAAUUUCCAAUAAAAGUCAUCAGUCGUUGUAAACAACGAUUAGAUGAAAAUCAACGUCCGCAAAAUCAACUGGCAAAAUGUUCACAUUUUCUCCAAGUUUAGUACUCUUAUUGCUUUUCUGCUUCAGCUUACUGUAUUCAGUUCAAAGCAGCUACUUUGAUCAAGAAUUUGUUAAGCAGAUACUGAGUUCAGCAAGUAAAGAUAAAGAUUGGUUAGUAUCCAUAAGAAGGAAAAUUCAUGAAUACCCAGAACUCAGAUUCGAAGAAUAUAAUACCAGUGCUCUGAUUCGUAGUGAACUUGAUAAGCUUGGGGUUUAUUAUGAAUACCCUUUUGCUAAAACUGGUAUUGUUGCUCGAAUUGGCAAUGGUUCUCCCCCUGUUGUUGCUUUGCGAGCCGAUAUGGAUGCCCUUCCUAUGCAGGAACUUGUUGAAUGGGAACAUAAGAGCAAAAUUAAUGGCAAAAUGCAUGGAUGUGGACAUGAUGCUCAUACGACGAUGCUUCUUGGUGCUGCUAAGCUGCUGAAUGAACGGAAGGACAAACUUAAUGGAACCGUCAGACUUGUUUUCCAACCUGCGGAGGAAGGAGGAGCUGGUGCAAAUCAUAUGAUAAAGGAAGGAGCUCUAGGUGAUGCAGAAGUUAUAUUUGGUAUGCAUGUUGAUUUUAAAAGACCUACAGGGGGCAUUGGCACGAGUCCUGGACCCCUUUUAGCUGCCGUUUGCUUCUUUGAAGCAAAAAUAGAAGGAAAAGGUGGGCAUGCUGCACAACCCCAUGAAGCUGUGGAUCCAAUACUUGCUGCAUCAUUUGCAAUUGUGGCAUUGCAGCAGCUCAUCUCAAGAGAAGUAGAUCCCCUUCAUAGUCAAGUUCUUUCUGUUACUUAUGUCAGAGGUGGAUCAGCAUCAAAUGUAAUUCCAUCAUAUGUUGAAUUUGGGGGAACUCUGAGGAGUCUAACAACUGAAGGCUUGUUUCAACUUCAAAAGAGGGUGAAAGAGGUAAUUGAAGGACAGGCAGCUGUGCAUAGGUGUAAGGCGUACGUUGACAUGAAAGAAGAGGAUUUCCCAGCAUAUCCAGCUUGCACAAAUGAUGAGAACUUACAUCAACAUGUAGAGAGGGUUGGCAAACUCAUGCUUGGUUCGGAGAACGUUGGGGAUAUUGAAAAGGUCAUGGCAGGUGAGGACUUUGCCUUCUAUCAACAAGUGAUUCCUGGGGUUAUCUUUCAAAUAGGGAUCAGAAAUGAGAAGUUGGGCUCUACCCACGCCCCACAUUCCCCACACUUCUUUCUUGACGAGGAUGUCCUUCCAAUUGGAGCAGCAAUGCACACAGCCAUAGCAGAGAUGUAUCUGAACGAUUACCAACAUUCCGCUGCAGUUUAGAUAAUAACAUUAUUGUUUGAUGGUCUCUUGAGUUCCAUAAAUGUUCCAAUUACUCGUUCAUUCUGCACAUUGUCUAUAAUACAAAAUAAAUAAGCAAAUCUAAAGCGGUGAUGACCAUCUGUUCAUGUGGCCCAUUUCAAUUUCUUGAUGCCAUAGUUGCUCUUGUGCUCUUUAAUAAUUUCCCUUAUGCUACAAGGCAUCAAGUAGUUCAGUAUGUAACAUACUACAUGCAGUUACAAAAUGAAUAAUGACAGUGGUCUGACACUGUAUAUGCAAAAUCUAGUGCAAGUUACUGUU